GUCAAAGUUUGAAACUACUUUCCCAGAAAAAUAUGGUGAAAGGUCUUUCUGCUAUUUUAGAAACAAGUGGCAUAUGUGAUGGUUGUCAACUGAAAAAAAAUAACAAAGCAAUCAUUUCUAAUGGGACAAGCAUGAAGAGUAUCAAAGCAACUCGAGUUAGUGCAUAUUGAUGUAUAGCCCUAUGAAAACCCCUUCACUUGGCAAUACAAGUAUUUUAUCU
rnacentral:lncRNA from 1 species